rnacentral:lncRNA from 1 species
AGUGGGUGCGGUGGAAGCCAUGAGAGAGUGAUGAGAGAUUGUAGAGAUGUGAUAAUGCUGGCCAAGCCGGGCUACAUAUAUGUAGUGAGAAAUGGCGGGAAAAAUGGGAGCGGGAAGACAGGAGGCGGGAAGAAAGUGGCGGGAAGAAAGAGGCGGGAAGACAGGGAAGAAAUGGCGGGAAGAAGAGGAAUCCAGAGCUGGUCAUCUAACCUUUAGUCCCGGCUGGUUGGUGCAACCGGGACUAAAUGUGGUUUUUGUGUCAUCUAAGAAAACUGUCGGUGGGAUAAGGAUGUUUGAAUUGAAUUAGUUUUAUUUUUCUGAAUUUUUUGAUAUAUUAUUUGUAUUUUUAACAUUUUGAAUUGAAUUAGUUUUAUUUUUCUUAAUUUUUUGAUAUAAUUUUUGUGUUUUUAACAUAUUGAAUUGAAUUAGUUUUAUUUUUCUGAAUUUUUUGAUAUAUUAUUUGUAUUUUUAAGAUAUUGAAAAAGAAAAGUAUUUUUGAAAAAUACCUUUAGUCGCGGUUGGCCAGACCAACCGCGACUAAAGGUCGUUGCGCGCGGGAACGAAAAAACCCUUUAGUCGCGGUUGGUUUAGCCAACCGCGACUAAAGGUUACCUUUAGUCGCGGGUCGCCUCCCCAACCGCGACUAAAGGGGGGGGGCUAUAAAUACAAGGGCCUGCCGCCGUCUUCUCCGAUUCUCGUCUUCUCCGAUUCUCUGCCGCGCGCGCCGAAGGCCUGCCGCCGUCGCCCUCGCCCUCGACGCCGCCCGCCCUCGCCCUCGCCCUCGAACGCCGCCCUCGCCGCCCGCCGUCGCCCCUCGCCCUCGACGCCGCCCUCGCCGCCCGCCGUCGCCCUUGCCCACGUACGCCGCCCGCCGUCGCGCGCCGUCGCCCCUCGCCCUCGCCGCCGGCCGUCUCUUGUCCGAAUUGCACUAUGAAUCUUGCACCGUCAAUAAUAGUUUUCCUUUAAAAGUUGGAUACUUGAUUCACAUAUAAGUUUUACUCCCUUAAAUAUAAGAUUCACAUAUAAGUUUAUAUCACUAGUAUUACUCCCUCCGUUCCUAAAUAUAAGUUUUUUUUUUAUAGAUUUCGUUAGAUGAGUAUAUACGAAGCAAAAUGAGUGAAUCUACGUUCUAAAGUAUGUCUAUGCACAUCCAUAUGUAGUUUUUUAAUGAAACCUUUAAAAUGACUUGUAUUUAGAAACGGAGGAAGUACUAUAGAAAUCCGGGUCUUUUUUAUAUAUAGUGAUGGUUAUAUGUCUCACGACGAUGAAGGCCGGAUACUUGAGAUCUUUUUGUUAUAUAUAACGUGUGUACGAGCUCUCGUGUUCGGUUAAGUUUAUACCAUAUUUGCAACAAGUGAAAUAAUCCCUCUGUUCACAAAUAUAAGAUGUUUACCUUGCAAGUUUGGAGCUUUGUUAGGAAUACAGUGAUAUCCUAACCCAUCAGAAUUUAAGCUCUACCGCGACACCCUCUCCCACCCCUUCCUCGCCCCCUCCUUUUGCCACCGCCCUUUCGCCACCGCCACCGCCACCGCACCCCUUCUUCACUUAAUUAAUUUGUUUUUACUACAUGUUUUCAGGACUGACAUAAUGGCGGACGAUAGAGCUGACCCGAUUAUGGACAACUAUGAUCCGGACGGUGAAGCACAUAUGUUCGGCAUCAUAAACGGCGAUAUUCUAUAUGUGCCGACCGGACAAGAUCAAGAAGAUAAUAUCUCUUCUUAUCUGAACCUUGACGGUGAAGAUGAAGGGCGCCGUCAGCAAGAUGAUGCCGAACAAACGUCGAUAAACGACGAUCUUCAAAUGGAAGUAGCAACCACCUCCGGCGCCGAGGUAUAUAUAUACAUUGAGCCUCUGGUGAUACAAACUAACUGAUUUGAAUAAAUAUGUGUGUACUAACGCGCGCGACUCUCUUUCUUAUUUUAGCCCUCGGCCAGAUCGUCGAAACAAUCGAGUACGUCGUCAAAGCGUGGCGCAACCAAGACUAUGCACGUGAACUUCGUAGGCAGGCAUUCAUGUUGAAGGAGAAGAAAGAGCGGGCGGAGAACCAGGAGAACAAAGCCUUGGAGGAGGCCGAGAAAACGGAAUUAGAAAGUAAAAAAAGCGGGAAACGAGUUGCCCAGCUCGGGGAACAAAGUAAACAAUCGAUUGCCCCGCUUAUAGUGAAAGCCGCCGGUCCGGAUGACCCCGAUAUCAUAGCAGCUGCGGCAGCACAUGGAUUGACUGUAACGAGUGCCAGAGAACAAGCGGCCAACUUAGGUAUUACUCUUCGUGAAAUGUUAGGCCUUGAUGAGGCGCCAGUGAAGGAGGUAGUAAUUACAUAUGUGAAGAAUGGGCCUCUCGUCGAGCCUGCGCAGGAAGAGGAUCUACCUCCACAAAUGAAAGGUCUGCUGAAAUGGUACAAGGGUUACAUAAAAAAAUAAAAACGCCAAAGAUUAUAUUUAUGCGGAAGUUAGAUAUGAGCAUCACUUCAAACAUUACUAUGUACAAAUUCAUCUGAGUGAAUUGUUCCAGCUUUUCAAUCUGCGCGAGCUCGACAAAUCUAUCAUCAGUUGCUACGUUCUGUAAGUGAUUUAUUUAUACCCCAUCUCGUUCAUAUUGCCUGCACUAUAUAUAUGUCGUAACUAUAUUGUUGUGUCCGCUAUUAUACAUGCAGAAUGAAGAUUAAGGAAUGCAGAGUAAGGAACAUCCAUGAUGUUGGGUUCAUUGACCCACACAUCGUUAAUGGAUAUGUGUUGGAGCAUCACCCCGCCGACAUGGAGGCAGACCUGUGGCAGUUUCUUACAAAGCAGGAACUCAAAAGUGAUAUUCUAUUUCCUUACCAUUUUGGGUGAGUGUUUCUGUCUUGAGCACAUUCUCUUUUGUUUACUCCAUGCAUGGUAUGUGGCCGGCUACUCGAUGAGUUAUGCAUGACGUACUGUGCAUGUAUCGUGUCCGCAGGUUCCACUGGAUUCUGCUAGUAAUUAAAGUUGACACCUCAGAAUGUCUCGUCCACGACUCUCUGAAUAUGGAUCCAAAGCUUUGGGGCGGCAUGAGAAGAAUGCUGCAGAAGUAAUUAUUUUCAUUCAUUUGCGCUCUAUAUCGAUCGACCUAUUUCGUUCAUUUCCUAAUAUCAAGUAACUAAUAACUCUCUUGUUCAUUUAAUUUUCUUUGCCUCGUAGGGUUUGGAGACGGUUCGUAGAUACAAAGGUCGGUGAAUUCAAAAAAGAGCUAGAAUUCAAAAGGUCAAAGGCUAAGAAUGGUGGGGAUAUUCAGCCAGCGGGGACCAAUCUAUGUGGAUACUAUGUCUGUGAGAUGAUCCGGAGAUACACCUCUGAGCGGGUUCCGAGUGAUACCAAUGCUGAGCGGAAUAACCUCCGGGUGAUGCUUAGUCCAGAAGCUCGCUUCCGACCACUUCAAGAGGAACUAGCUGGAUGGUUCAGGAGGGAAGUCCUCCAUCGUAAAGGAGAACACCAUUACGAGGACGUAGAACUUUAUAUGCAUUAAAUUAUGUAUGGAAACUUGUUCAAAAUUGUAUAUGGUCAUCCGAUGAUAUUGAAUAUAUAUUGUAUAUUCCUCUUGAAUUCUUUUUGGUUCUAAUUUCAAAUUUGUUUGAAAUUGUACAUUCAUAUGCAUGUAUGUAGUACCGUAGAAUAUGUGAAACUCCUUCAAAUUUAAAAUAAAGCAUAAAAGAAAUAAAACAAUACAAAUUAAACAGAAAACAGGUUUAGGGGGGGGGGCUAAACCCUGUGGCGGCCUUUAGUCGCGGUUGGCCAGAAAAACCGCGACUAAAGGUCCUCCGCCCCGACGGCCGCCUGGCGCCCACGUGGACGGGCCUUUAGUUGCGGUUCUUAAGCAACCGCGACUAAAGGGGGGGGCCUUUAGUCGCGCCUAUUUGGUCGCGGUUGCGCAACCGCGACUAAUGGCAGUUGCGAACCGCGACCAAAGGCCCUUUUUCCACCAGUGAUAUAUUUUAGUUUUAGAUACAUCCAUUUUUAUCCAUUUAUGCCAGAAGUGAUUUCGAACGGAUGGAGUAUGAGUGUCUGGGAGUUAUUAAAGUGCGCCUCGAGUAUACCAAGAAAUUAUAUAAAAAAAGGUCAUGUUGCAUUACGUGUGAAAACUAACCUCCGAAAAACAAAGUGCACCUACUAUGACCAGGUUGCGAAAUGUAGGUAACACAAUCUGCCAAUACCAGAAAUCAUUUAGAUUCAGAGGAAUACAGAAAAUAUCAGAGUGCAUGCUUUUGGGAUACACCAGCCAUGGAUACAGGUUCAGCUGAGAAAAUAACUACCAAGCAAGCAAAUAAAGCAAGAAAAAGUAUGGCAACUAUUCGUACAUGAUAGUCACUCUAGAUUUAUAGAAGCAUUUUUCAAAAGGCUCCAACUUCUGAAGGCUCGCUUACAGAAAGUCUAUCAUGGUCCUUUGUUCUGAGACCCUGCAGCAUUUCCGCUCCUACUCCCGAAGGAUAAACAUGAGUACACAGGCAUAGAAUCGCCAUGCGUGCUAUCGCUUGGCACCAGUAUAUGUUUCGCGCCAGGAGUGAGCUUCACCGGUCCUGAUCUCUUCUGCACACUGCGACAACUAGACGAAGCAUUGCAAUUGUCAGGAACAGCUCUCGUCGUUUGGUUCUCUGUAUUUCUGGACGGAAGGGCUGUAUCUCUUGUGCUGUUGGAAACUUCUUGAACUACCCGGCCUGGAUGGCUGAGCGUAUAACUCACAGAGUUAAGAGGGCAAACUGACGACCUUGCUGAAUGCCCAACAUGUUGCCGAGGCAAAUUGGUAUGGAACACUGAAGGUGGUGUCCUAUGCUGUCCGGUCAUAGGCAAAAAUGGUGCAGCAGCCGUUUCUUCCACAGCGAUAGGAUCAGAGAAAUAACGCCAAGGACGCGGCCUAUUCUGAUGGAAGACUGCACUGCUAUGAUUGGGAAGAGGUGAACACCCCAAUAGAAAAGUCUGGUUGGUCCGCGAGUUUGAAAAAUCCCCAUACCUGUUUUCAUAUGGCAAUUGAUCUCCAGAAAAUAAAUUUGCUGCAGGAAACGGUUGACUGGAACCAUGUGGAGUCCUGUACCCAAAAUGUGCCUGACUUGUGCUUGCAUGAUAUGUUGAAGCUUGAGUUGCACUGGUAGAAUUUACUGCAACAUUGGGGAAACUUUCAGCUUGCAAAGAGAAAAAAGGCUGUCCUUGUGGCAAUAACACAUUUGUCUUAAGAUACUCAUUGGUGGAAGUACCUGUAUAUUUCUGUGCAGUCUCAGCAAACGGUUCACCUCUGGUUGCGCAAAUUGUAAGAUCUUUACCCAUCAAACGAACUGUCUGUCCCGUAGAAGGACUGCACUGGUGCUGCACGUUCAACUCAGAACUAGAAUAUAACUCCUUGCUGCGAAACACAUUACAUUCACGAGAAAGCUGGGAGCCAACAUUAUUCAGAUUGCUGGAGAACCAAGUCUUGUGCUGCUGAAAUGAGUCCUGAAAUGUAUGGUCUGGCAAUGCACAAGGAGAUGUACUCGUAGUCAUGGUAUCUUUUACUGAAACAUUACUGUAACCACGACGAGUCUCGCGGUGUUCUCUUAAGUUCAAUGGAGAACCAACAGCAACUAUGUCAGAAAUAAUGAUUCGCUCACCAUCCAAAAAUGUGCCUGCCGAUCUUGAACUCUUUAUUUUAUCAAGGUCAGCAACAGGUGGUUGGCUUUCCGGUCCCUGUGAACCAAAAGACAAAUUCAUCAAGUUUUCUCCACCAGCAAUCAAUUCAGCAUCAGAACUUAAAGUUUCAUCAUGUGGAUGCUCAAGAUUGGGCACCUCUAAAUUUGAAUCAUAGGUGCUGUCCACAUCAAUACAUUCUGGUGGUGUCAUAUUCAGAUCAAUGAAUGGAGCAGACAUCUCUCUGUUACUAGGCUCAGCAGAGUCCAGAUUAUCGCAAUGCUUAUUUGUAUCUUUAGUCUUACUAAAGGCUUCCUUGGGCAUGUCAGAACUACUACUUUCGGCAGUUACCCAUUUGUCUCCUUCAAUAGACGCGGAUGAUGAUGAUGAUGAUGAUGAUGAUGAUGAUGAUGAUGAUGAUGAUGAUGAUGAUGAUGAUGAUGACGACGAGGAUGACAGUGAAGCCAUAACACCCGAGAGCAGUUUGCAGAGAGUUUGUCGUUUGGGUAGCUCACAACUCUGCAUCUUACUCCCAAUUACACCAUCUGCUUCUGAGAAUUUGACACGCUUCACUGAUUUGCAGCAUAGUUCUAUUACUUCAUUGCCUUCUGAAUUGACAUGUUUCUCAUUGGCCAUUUUGACAGAUGUGUGCUCUGUGUACUUCAGAAUGCCCUGCCUAGGGAGAGAUUUUCCUAGAACUCGUAAUUUUCCCACUUUGCAAGCUUUACUGUUGUCAAUGCACUCAGCCUUCUUUGCAUUGUUGAUCUUCCCCUUCUUCCUUCUCCCAGAUAUAUUUUCUCCCUCUAUUCUGUGAUAUUGUGAAGACUUAAGUUUCUGUGAUGUGGAAGCAUCCAGUCCAUCAGGUAAAUUUGGAUUCUCAAGCCCCUCCUACAAAAUUAAGCAGCAUUAUUUGAAACCGUAUAUAACUGUAAGUGGGUCCAGAUGCCAGUCUACAGGUUGGGCCAUGUAAAAGUAACAACCAGGUGAAACACAAAACUUUAGUAGAAUAAUCCAGUAUUAUGCAAAAAUAUUUACAGCCAUAAUCGCUAUGCAGCUAAUGUCAUAUUGUGAGGUAAAAACACAUUUGACCCAUAGAAAAUAUGUAAAUAGACAUUUAUGCCAAAGUAACCUGUAAAAAAUAAAAGAAAAAGAACAUUUGGAUCGGGAUAGGCGUGAAAACACGUCGAACCCCAACUGACUAUUUGUCAUAGCACAUUCAUAUUCAUGUUAUUAUAAGUCGAGUACAUAUACAAAAAAUUCUCCUACCCAAAUGCAUACUGGAUGACGAUCAAACUAAAAUCAAUAUGCAUUAAAGUCGAUCAAAAUUUAUGCCCGCAUAAUGUGUGCAAUAUGUGAUUUCCGGGCUUAAGUUUUAUGUGCAAAAUAACAAAUUGCAUGACAUGAUAAACUAACCUUAAGCAAUAUAAAUAUGUAAACUAAAGCAUUUUGUAGUUGACCGCACACGUCGCAAUAGUUUACGUAUACAUUAUCCUACUCGCAUCGAGAUGCAAAUACACAAUAACAAAUGGAUGGAUAACCAUAAUCUAUUCACACACUAGCCUGUUAGAUUUUAGUAUGAACUCAAAUAAUGGACAAAAUUCAAACAUGAAUGUAAUGGCCAAUUCCUAGUCAAGUGAAAAGCAUAAAAUAAACUUAUUCUUGACCAUUCAAAUAAAAAAUAAUCAAACAUACAUAUCCAUUUCUAGACAAAGGUUUGGAAAAUCAGUGGUUACUGUCGGUUCUAUAGAUUCCGACCAUGGGUUCAUCUAUACCUUCCCAGCAUCCCCAAUUCCCCAUCUCUCAAAAAUAUCUUCUAUUUAGAUAACCAUUUGUAAUACAUGUUCCAAAGUACAAACAUCAUGUAUAAGAAACUGAGAGAACAAAACGCACAAGAGUUGCCCCCAUCUUUGACGGCUCUAAAGACGCACUUCCAUUGGUCACUCCUGUGCAGCAAUUAUUUGAUGGGCAAGGCACACCGAAAAGAAGCAAGGUGUGGCUCGCGUCCUAUCAUCUAUCCAGGCGGGCAUCACUGUGGUACCGACGUCUCAAGCAUGCGCAGGCACACCUCCCUGGGGGAGUUCAUAGGUUUUCUUAGUUUCUAAGUCCUGUUCGUUUGGAUUCUGUUUAGGAUAUUUCCUUUUUGUUUAGGUUGUUCCUUGCUAGUUGAGUCGGUUCAAGACUUCUCUAAAUUACUGCCAAGCGGUAUAAUAAAGUAGGGCAAUUAGCAUGUAAUUAGGGAUCAAAGAAAUAAUCAUAGAAAAGGGAGGUUUACCGCCAGAACCGAUCAAUCCCCAAUUGUCAUGGCGGCCUAGCCCAGGUUCGAAACAGGCAAUGCCAAAACCACCAGCAACGAUCACUAGUACUCAUCAUUAAGGAGCAGCGCCGUUGCCAAUCACACAGCUGAACACACUAGAUAGUGGUCAUUGCCCAAUGCCUAGUGCAAAAGGAGAUGUAAUGGAAGAGCCUUUGGCUCAUUGAAUAUGUAUGAAGGAUGCACAAAUUCUCCACCCAAAAGGUGUCAUUACCCAAGAGAGUGGGGAGAACAAGCGAUUAAGAAAUGACAUGAUCUCAAAGAGUUCUUGUGAGUGAGGGUGGGGGAGUUCAGGUUCGGCGCACCCUGAGGCGCCGUUAUCAUGGACGGGACGGGAAGGAGAGCGUGCGAGGGUGAUGUGUAGGUUGAAGCUGGAGGGAGCCAGCAAUCCUGACGAUGGAGGGGGUGGCGAACGCAGCCGGCAGUUCUAGAUUCGACAAGCGUUGAGUGCGGCAUCGGCGCAUCGCAGCCGAUUACCUUCCCAGAGGUCGAUGCAAAAGUGGAGGGGUAGGGUGUGUGGUGUGAGCCAUAACGAGGUGCGGCCAUAAGAGCAUGGGGUGUUGCGUGGUGUGAUGCGUGGAGGCGCCAGAGGUUGACAUUCGGGAUGGAUUGAGCUUUAGGGAAGGUGCAGGGGGUGUGAGCAAGAGACGAUGCGUGCAGCCAUCACACAGCCAUUGGAUGGGCAGCAUGCCAAGCGCGGGCUGUAAGUAGCCAUCGGCAGAUCAUGGAGGCCUCGAUUUGGAUUAAAGUGAGAGAAGUCGCGAAGAUGCGGUGGUUUCCUGCCACACCACAGCCAGCAUCCAGCACGGCGAUCUACACCUGCUGGGUAGCAGGCAAACAUAGCCGGUCACAGCGGAUCCAAGCAGCAACACAUUUGCUGCCAACAUAGACCACAUAGCAACUCCAUGCCGUGCCUGAGAGUCACUCUGUGCAGCGAACAGUGUCCCUGCCACCGCUGUCAAUCGGCCAGCAGGGCAUCGCGAUGAGGUAUCCUUCGGUUGCAGCAGGAAGGGUUGUGUCCGCCCGAGUGGCUCACAUGGGAGCGAUGCAGGGACUCACCCUCCUCAAUUACAAAUAUUGUUGUAGAAGAUAAGAAUAACUAUUAAUUGAACAAAAAAUAAUGUUUUUUUAACUAAGCUGCUCAUAGAAGAAUAUAAUUGAGUGAUGAAAGUUAAAGAUCAAUUUCACAACAUGAUCCUUAGAUAUUGAAACAAGAUGAAUUACAAAAUCUUAAAGGGUGCAACACAUGAUGAGCCUUCUAUAUAUAUAUAUGCAUGUGAUGGUCAACAAUAUUAUGAUAAUUACCUCGAUAUUAAAUGUUAAUGCAUUAUGCCAGAUAGAGAACUUCAGACACUAUAUAUCAUACGUGGAGACAUAAAGUUUACAUUCAAACAUUACUUCAAACAUCCGGCCUCAACCACACCCUCUUAAGACUUAUAUCCUAUUAAUCUGGUCAACUAGAUAUUUUUACUGGAAUACUCCAUAAAAGAGUACAAACAGCAGACCAUGCGUCAUGUCAAACAUAUGAUGACAGCUCGACUUCGACAUAUUGGAAACUACCACCAUCUACUGAACACAAUUUCUAUGCAUGCUCAAAGGUGUCC